rnacentral:rRNA from 1 species
CCUAGGGUGGCAGCAGUGGGGAAUAUUGGGCAAUGGGCGCAAGCCUGACCCAGCAACGCCGCGUGAAGGAAGAAGGCUUCCGGGUUGUAAACUCCUCUUGUCAGGGACGAAGCAAGUGACGGUACCUGACGAAUAAGUCAUGGCUAACUACGUGCCAGCAGCCGCGGCAAUACGUAGGUGGCAAGCGUUAUCCGGAUUUACUGGGGGUAAAGGGCGUGUAGGCGGGACUGCAAGUCAGAUGUGAAAGCCACGGGCUCAACCUGUGACCUGCAUUUGAAACUGUAGUUCUUGAGUGCUGGAGAGGCAGGCGGAAUUCCUAGUGUAGCGGUGAAAUGCGUAGAUAUUAGGAGGAACACCGGUGGCGAAGGCGGUCUGCUGGACAGCAACUGACGCUGAGGCGCGAAAGCGUGGGGAGCAAACAGGAUUAGAUACCCUUGUAGUC